rnacentral:rRNA from 1 species
AGAGUUUGAUCAUGGCUCAGGAUGAACGCUAGCUACAGGCUUAACACAUGCAAGUCGAGGGGCAGCAUGUUGGUUGCUUGCAACCAACGAUGGCGACCGGCGCACGGGUGAGUAACGCGUAUCCAACCUACCCUUGUCCAUCGGAUAACCCGUCGAAAGGCGGCCUAACACGAUAUGCGGUUCACAGCAGGCAUCCAACGUGAACGAAAUGUGAAGGAGAAGGAUGGGGAUGCGUCUGAUUAGCUUGUUGGCGGGGUAACGGCCACCAAGGCUACGAUCAGUAGGGGUUCUGAGAGGAAGGUCCCCCANAUUGGAACUGAGACACGGUACCAACUCCGUACGGGAGGCA